UUGAAUGUUGGUACAGCUUGUACAGGAUAGGUAGGAGCCUUGGAAACCGGAGCGCCAGCUUCGGUGGAGGCAUCGGUGGGAUACUACCCUGGCUGUAUUGACCUUCUAACCCGCCGCCCUUAUCGGGCGGGGAGACAGUGUCAGGUGGGCAGUUUGACUGGGGCGGUCGCCUCCUAAAAGGUAACGGAGGCGCCCAAAGGUUCCCUCAGAAUGGUUGGAAAUCAUUCGCAGAGUGUAAAGGCA
rnacentral:rRNA from 1 species